rnacentral:misc_RNA from 1 species
CCGAGUUACAACUCCCAAACCCCUGUGAACAUACCUUUAUGUUGCCUCGGCGGAUCAGCCCGCGCCCCGUAAAACGGGACGGCCCGCCGCAGGAAACCCUAAACUCUGUUUUUAGUGGAACUUCUGAGUAUAAAAAACAAAUAAAUC